CCUACGGGCGGCAGCAGUGAGGAAUAUUGGUCAAUGGACGAGAGUCUGAACCAGCCAAGUAGCGUGAAGGAUGACUGCCCUAUGGGUUGUAAACUUCUUUUAUAUGGGAAUAAAAUGUUCCACGUGUGGGAUUUUGUAUGUACCAUAUGAAUAAGGAUCGGCUAACUCCGUGCCAGCAGCCGCGGUAAUACGGAGGAUCCGAGCGUUCUCCGGAUUUAUUGGGUUUAAAGGGAGCGUAGGUGGAUUGUUAAGUCAGUUGUGAAAGUUUGCGGCUCAACCGUAAAAUUGCAGUUGAAACUGGCAGUCUUGAGUACAGUAGAGGUGGGCGGAAUUCGUGGUGUAGCGGUGAAAUGCUUAGAUAUCACGAAGAACUCCGAUUGCGAAGGCAGUUCACUGGACUGCAACUGACACUGAGGCGCGAAAGUGUGGGUAUCAAACAGGAUUAGAUACCCUUGUAGUC
rnacentral:rRNA from 1 species